rnacentral:rRNA from 1 species
GACGAACGCUGGCGGCGUGCUUAACACAUGCAAGUCGAACGGAAAGGCCCCUUUGGGGGUACUCGAGUGGCGCACGGGUGAGUAACACGUAAGUAACCUGCCCUUGACUUCGGGAUAACUUCCGGAAACUGGGGCUAAUACCGGAUAGGAAUCCUUGCUGCAUGGUGGGGGUUGGUAAGCUUCGGCGGUUUUGGAUGGACUCGCGGCCUAUCAGCUUGUUGGUGGGGUAGUGGCUUACCAAGGCUUUGACGGGUAGCCGGCCUGAGAGGGCGACCGGCCACAUUGGGACUGAGGUACGGCCCAGACUCCUACGGGAGGCAGCAGUGGGGAAUAUUGCACAAUGGGCGGAAGCCUGAUGCAGCAACGCCGCGUGCGGGAUGACGGCCUUCGGGUUGUAAACCGCUUUCAGCAGGGGCGAAGCUUGUGGUGACGGUACCUGCAGAAGAAGCACCGGCUAACUACGUG